ACAAGUAUGCCGUAAUCUAGGUAACCGGGUAAAUCUUAGGAAUUUAAGCUUCUAGCAAUUAAGAGUUCGAGUCUCUUUACUUGUA
rnacentral:tRNA from 1 species